GAGUUUGAUCGUGGCUCAGGAUGAACGCUGGCGGCGUGCCUAAUACAUGCAAGUCGAGCGAACAGACGAGGAGCUUGCUCCUCUGACGUUAGCGGCGGACGGGUGAGUAACACGUGGAUAACCUACCUAUAAGACUGGGAUAACUUCGGGAAACCGGAGCUAAUACCGGAUAAUAUAUUGAACCGCAUGGUUCAAUAGUGAAAGACGGUUUUGCUGUCACUUAUAGAUGGAUCCGCGCCGCAUUAGCUAGUUGGUAAGGUAACGGCUUACCAAGGCAACGAUGCGUAGCCGACCUGAGAGGGUGAUCGGCCACACUGGAACUGAGACACGGUCCAGACUCCUACGGGAGGCAGCAGUAGGGAAUCUUCCGCAAUGGGCGAAAGCCUGACGGAGCAACGCCGCGUGAGUGAUGAAGGUCUUCGGAUCGUAAAACUCUGUUAUUAGGGAAGAACAAAUGUGUAAGUAACUAUGCACGUCUUGACGGUACCUAAUCAGAAAGCCACGGCUAACUACGUGACAGC
rnacentral:rRNA from 1 species